rnacentral:snRNA from 1 species
AGCUUUGCGCAGUGGCAGUAUCGUAGCCAAUGAGGUUUAUCCGAGGUGCGAUUAUUGCUAAUUGAAAAACUAAAAAUAGAA